GAAGACCUACGGGAGGCAGCAGUGGGGGAUAUUGCACAAUGGGCGAAAGCCUGAUGGAGCAACGCCGCGUGGGUGAAGAAGGUCUUCGGAUCGUAAAACCCUGUUGUUAGGGAAGAAAGUGCGUGAGAGUAACUGUUCACGUUUCGACGGUAUCUAACCAGAAAGCCACGGCUAACUACGUGCCAGCAGCCGCGGUAAUACGUAGGUGGCAAGCGUUAUCCGGAAUGAUUGGGCGUAAAGGGUGCGUAGGCGGCCUGCUAAGUCUGGAGUGAAAGGUACCGGCUCAACCGGUACAGGCUCUGGAA
rnacentral:rRNA from 1 species